CCCUUGAGAGUGGCGAACGGGUGAGUAAUAUAUCGGAACGUGCCCAGUCGUGGGGGAUAACGUAGCGAAAGUUACGCUAAUACCGCAUACGAUCUAAGGAUGAAAGCGGGGGACUCGCAAGAGCCUCGCGCGAUUGGAGCGGCCGAUAUCAGAUUAGGUAGUUGGUGGGGUAAAGGCUCACCAAGCCAACGAUCUGUAGCUGGUCUGAGAGGACGACCAGCCACACUGGAACUGAGACACGGUCCAGACUCCUACGGGAGGCAGCAGUGGGGAAUUUUGGACAAUGGACGAAAGUCUGAUCCAGCCAUUCCGCGUGCAGGAUGAAGGCCCUCGGGUUGUAAACUGCUUUUGUACGGAACGAAAAGGUUUCUAUUAAUACUAGGAGCUCAUGACGGUACCGUAAGAAUAAGCACCGGCUAACUACGUGCCAGCAGCCGCGGUAAUACGUAGGGUGCAAGCGUUAAUCGGAAUUACUGGGCGUAAAGCGUGCGCAGGCGGUUAUGUAGGACAGAGGUGAAAUCCCCGGGCUCAACCUGGGAACUGCCUUUGUGACUGCAUAGCUAGAGUACGGUAGAGGGGGAUGGAAUUCCGCGUGUAGCAGUGAAAUGCGUAGAUAUGCGGAGGAACACCGAUGGCGAAGGCAAUCCCCUGGACCUGUACUGACGCUCAUGCACGAAAGCGUGGGGAGCAAACAGGAUUA
rnacentral:rRNA from 1 species